GCCUGGCCCAGGCAGUUUCUAUCUUCUUGUUUCCCAUACUCCUUUUCUCUCAUCUUUCCCUGAGGAUUGAAACUAAAGGCCUAAAGUAAGCUAGAUCAAGAUGAAGAGUCCUCAGCUCCUUCUCCAGCUCCCGGUCGGAUUGUGCUACACCAUGCUUCUCGCCAUGACAAUGAUGGAUAAAACGUCUGAACUGUGAGCCAGCCUCAAUGACAUGUUUUCCUUUAUAAGAGUUGCGGUGGCCAUGGUGUCUCUUCAUAGCAAUAAAACCCUAACUAAGACA